GCCAUUGCUUUAGACCAACUGCCAUUCUCAGCUGUUGUCCAGGCAGCACUGGGCAUUUCCAAGAGGCCCAGACACCUCCCGGGCGUGACCCUACUGACAGCUGCCUGAUGUUAUACUUCACAUUGCUGCACACUGUCCACGCCUGCCUAAAUCUGAUGACUGACGCCACAGCUGCAAGUCAGGCUGCAGUGAAGACUGGGACUGGAGUUAGCUGUGCAGUGGCAAAACCAUGGCUGGUGGCUGCUGAUCAAGUGAUGUAAAUGAACAAAAGCACAACCGUAUUCAACACCAUGUGCAUAAUUUAUCAUCAGGACUGUUUCUCACUUCAAAGGAAUACCACAUGCAACAACAGUGUCAUUGCCAGUGGUAACCACUACCAAUAGUAAAACAGCCUUUGCAUGGGCAAGCCUAUUAAACAAGUGUCACGGUAAAA